GAUGAACGCUGGCGGCGUGCUUAACACAUGCAAGUCGAACGGUGAAGCAGGAGCUUGCUCUUGUGGAUCAGUGGCGAACGGGUGAGUAACACGUGAGCAACCUGCCCCAGACUCUGGGAUAAGCGCUGGAAACGGCGUCUAAUACCGGAUACGCACCAGAACCGCAUGGUUACUGGUGGGAAAGAUUAUGUGGUCUGGGAUGGGCUCGCGGCCUAUCAGCUUGUUGGUGAGGUAAUGGCUCACCAAGGCGUCGACGGGUAGCCGGCCGGAGAGGGUGACCGGCCACACUGGGACUGAGACACGGCCCAGACUCCUACGGGAGGCAGCAGUGGGGAAUAUUGCACAAUGGGCGGAAGCCUGAUGCAGCAACGCCGCGUGAGGGAUGACGGCCUUCGGGUUGUAAACCUCUUUUAGCAGGGAAGAAGCGAGAGUGACGGUACCUGCAGAAAAAGCGCCGGCUAACUACGUGCCAGCAGCCGCCGUAA
rnacentral:rRNA from 1 species